rnacentral:rRNA from 1 species
ACGGAAGGCAGCAGUGGGGAAUAUUGGACAAUGGGCGCAAGCCUGAUCCAGCGACGCCGCAUGAGUGAAGAAGUAUUUCGGUAUGUAAAGCUCUAUCAGCAGGGAAGAAAAUGACGGUACCUGACUAAGAAGCCCCGGCUAACUACGUGCCAGCAGCCGCGGUAAUACGUAGGGGGCAAGCGUUAUCCGGAUUUACUGGGUGUAAAGGGAGCGUAGACGGCGCUGCAAGUCAGAUGUGAAAGGCUGGGGCUUAACCCCGGGACUGCAUUUGAAACUGCAGUGCUCGAGUGCCGGAGAGGUAAGCGGAAUUCCUAGUGUAGCGGUGAAAUGCGUAGAUAUUAGGAGGAACACCAGUGGCGAAGGCGGCUUACUGGACGGUAACUGACGUUGAGGCUCGAAAGCGUGGGGAGCAAACAGGAUUAGAUACCCUGGUA